AAGUAUUUUUCUGAUUCCUUCUGCACCCUGAGCACCAUAAGGCCAGAGGCAGAACCUGUUUGUUCAUUACUGUAAUUCCAGAGCCUCACCCAGAGCCAGGCACAGAUGGACGUCUUAUGGAAUGAGAGACCAGAAGACGCCACCCCAAAAUUUGACUAUAGGAGACCAGAAGAUGCUACUUUAAAGAAUGCCUCCUUAGCAUAAUGAUUAUUUUGAGCUGAUCAUUUUGAGAAACUGCAGACACAGGAGAAGUUCUGAAAACAGUAGAAGUUACCUCUUUGUAAGUGAAUAAUGGUAUUAAAAUCUGCAUUCAAAGCCACCUUCUUGAGAUCCACUCAUUUCUCUGAGUCUUUCCAUGUAUAAA